rnacentral:rRNA from 1 species
UACGUAGGGCGCAAGCGUUAUCCGGAAUUAUUGGGCGUAAAGAGCUCGUAGGCGGUUUGUCGCGUCUGCCGUGAAAAGUCCGGGGCUCAACUCCGGAUCUGCGGUGGGUACGGGCAGACUAGAGUGAUGUAGGGGGAGACUGGAAUUCCUGGUGUAGCGGUGAAAUGCGCAGAUAUCAGGAGGAACACCGAUGGCGAAGGCAGGUCUCUGGGCAUUAACUGACGCUGAGGAGCGAAAAGCAUGGGGGAGCGAACAGG